CUUAACGACCAGCAUAUUUGCAUAACUGCCAUUCCUUAUAGUCACUCCCAAGCCUGGGAUGCUUUCUAGACACACCUUUACAGUUUUUUUUUUCCUUUCUAUGCCUCUAACAUUAUAGGAAAUUUGGUUGUGACAUUGAGCCAACAGCUACAAUAUACAGAAGACCAAAUUAGAAAUGAAUGGCCUGAUUCUUGGGCAAUGUGGCAUGAUUUAAAUCUUUUCUCACUUACAGCCAGCACACAUGUCAAAUUCUGGAUAAUUCUAGGAAGCAGAAUACUUAUACCGUGUCUCUUUUUAUAUCUUUGCAGAGUCACCCGCCAAGCCACCCAAAAACAAAACAAGGACCAGGAACUUGUCAUGACGGUCUGUGAACAAAAAACUAGAAAAAAACAAGAAAAAAAAAGGCACCAGGCAAUGAUUCCACCUCAUCUCUCAGAGAAUCCAACAGACAACCCAUCAAGAAGGCCAAGUUAUGUCCUCCAGUCACAUAUGUGGAAACUAAAGCUAACAUCACAGCCUGGGUUCACUAGUAAAACAAGCUAGGAACGUCCUACAUCUCUGACAACUGCUCUCCAUGGUGGUCGCCUCCCCUUGGACCUGCAUGUGUUUGCUCUUCAUCCCAGGAACACAUGGACUUUGGAGUAUUUUGGGAACAGAGGCUUGGGAAACGUUUCUCUGGAGUUGGGUUGUGAGUAACCCUUUUCCCCUAUGUGGUGCCACUUGUCCAGCUUUCUGCAUUUCCUUCUUUAAGUUUUCACCAAAGGGGCAAAAACCAUGUCAUCUCCGGCAUCAGGUUAUGGUGUCACAGAAGGAACAGGAGCCUCUACCCCAAGGUUAUGACCAAUUUUACCAAAGGGGUCUAAUUUUUUCACAUCCAACUUUUAAUGCUUUGGGGAUUUCAAUAUCAAAUGAGAAAAAUUCUGUUUCAAAUAAACACAAAAUACAAAAAUUAAUGUGUCCCAUCUUAGAAUGUGUGGGCAGACAAAAAGGCAUCUAUUGUGAGGUUCCAGUUAUAGGAAAAGAUACAAAGUAGCUGAGAACUUCCCUCAUCUGGGGAAGGAAACAGGCAUCCAAGUACUGGCAGCACAGAGAAUUUCCUUCCAAAUCAACAAAACAAGAUCAACACCACGACAUGUCAAAGUGAAACUGGAAAAAUACAAAGAUAAAGAGAGAAUUCUGAAAGCUGCUAGGGACAAACAGGUUUUAAUUGACAAAGGAAGACACAGAAGGGUAGCAACAGGCCCAUCCAAUGAAACUUGGCAGGGCAGAAGUGAGGGGUAGGAAACACUCAAUGUGAUAAAUGGGAACACAUGCAGCGAAGAUUCCUUUCCCCAGCAAGGCUGUCAUUUAGAAUAGAAAAUGACAGAAAGGCUUUCCAAGACAAACAAAACCUAAUGGAGUUCAUGAACACUAAAUCAGCCCUGCAGGAGACCCUAAGGGGCGACUCUGUGAGUGGAAAGCAGCAGAGACUACAAAGAACCAGAGGCCUCACCAAAAGCAUGAAACCUUCAGAUAAUAUAAUGACACUAAAUCCAUAUCUUUAACUAAUCACUCUGAGUGUGAAUAGACUCAAUGCCCAAAUCAAAAGACACAGGGAAUCAGAAUGGAUAAAACACAAAACAAAACCAAAGAACAAGAUCCAUCUAUAUGUUGUCAACAAGACACUGAUUUUAGACCCCAGGACACCUCCGGAUUCAAAGUGAAGGUAUGGGGAACCACCUAUCAUGCUACUAGAAGUCAAAAGAAAGCUGAAGUCGCCAUACUUCCAUCAGACAGACAGAUUUUAAACCAAAGACUGUAGUAACAGAUUCAGAAGGGCAUUGGAUCAUAAUUAAGGGGUCUAUCCAUCAAGAGGAGCUAACAAUUGCAAAUGUAUAUGGCCCCAAAGUGAAACGCCCACACAUAUGAAUCGAUUAAUCCCAAACAUGAACAAACGUAUACAUACAAAUACCAUGAUUGUAGACGACUUUAAGACACCACUCAUGGCAAUAGGCGCAUCAUCAAGGCAGAAAAUCAGUAAGGACACACAGAUCCAAUGUGUCAUUGGACCAGAUGUAUUCAGAUAUACAUAGAUAUAUAUUGGCCUUAAUAUAUACAUUUAUAUACAUGGAUAUCAACACCGAUAUAUUGAGAUCUUUUCAUCCAACAGCAGUAGAAUGCACAUUCUUCUUAAGUACACAUAGAACAUUCUCCAAUAUAGAUCACAUCCUGGGUCACAAAACAGCCCUCCACAAAUAUAAAAGGACUGAGAUCAUACCAUGCAUAUUUACAGAUCACAACGCUCAGACACUUGGAAUCAACCACAAGAACAAAAAUCGGAAAGCCUCCAAAUGCAUGGAGGUUACAGAACUUCCUACUCAAAAAAGAAUGGGUCCACCAGGCGAUUAAGGAAGAAAUUAAAAACCAUAUGGAAGCAAAUGAAAAUGAAAACACGCAAACCAAACACUUUGGGAUGCAGCAAAGGCAGUCCUUAGAGGAAAAUACAUUGUAAUCCAGGCCUAUCUCCAGAAGCAAGGAUGGUCCCAAAUACAGAAACUAACUUCACUCCUAAACGAACUAGAAAUACAGCAGCAAAGAAAGCCCAACGUCAGCAGAAGAAGGGAAACAAAAAAGAGUAGAGCAGAAAUAAAUCCUAUAGAAUCCAAAAACAAGGUUUCACACAUCAAUGAAUCUAAGAGAUGUGUUUUUUUUUUAAAUAAACAAAAUUGAUAACACCCUUGCCACACUUCUCAAAAAGUAGAAAGAGAGGCCCAAACAGAUAAAAUCACAAAUGAAAGACGAGAGAUCACAACCAACCCAACAGAAAUACAAUAAGAAUCCGAGGAUACUAUGAAAAGUAUAUGCCAACAACCUGGACAACCUGGAAGACAUGGACAAAUUCCUAGACACCCACACACUACCAAAAGCCUAACGGGAAGAAACAGAAAACGUGAAGAGACCCAUAACCCGUGAAGACAUUCAAUCAGUUAUUAAAAAUCUCCCAACAGAUAAGAGUCCUGAGCAGGAUGGCUUCCCAGGGGAAUCCUACCAGACAUUUAAAGCAGAGUUAAUCCUCCUUCUUCUUCUCAACAAGAUACUAGCAAACAUAAUGCAACGGUAUGUUAAGAGAAUCAUUCGCCAGGAUCAAGUGUGAUUCAUUCCUGGGCAGCAGGGCUGGUUCAAUAUUCACAAAUCAAUCAACAUGACACAUCCCAUGAAGAGAAGAAAGGAUAAGAACCAUAUGAUCCUGUCAAUAGAUGCAGAAAAAGCAUUUGACAAAAUACAGCACCCUUUCUGAAUACAACCCUCAAGAAAGUCAGAUAGAAGGAAUAGACCUUCAAACCCUAAAAGCCACAUAUGAACGGCCCACAGCUAAUAGCCUCCUCCAUGGAGAAACACUGAGAGCUUUUCCCCUGAGAUCAGGAAAACUAAGGGAUUUCUACUCUCACCACUGUUGUUUAAUAUGAUGUUGGAAGUCCUAGCAUUAGACAUCACACAACAAAAUGAAAUAAAAGGCAUCCAAGUUGGCAAAGAGGUCAAACUUUCACAGUUUACAGAUGACACGAUACUCUAUGUGGACAUCCUGAAAGCCUCCACCAAAAACACUGCUAGAAUGGAUACAUGCAUUCAGCAAAGCUGCAGGAUAAAAAAUCAAUGCACCCAAAUCAUUUGCAUGUCUAUACACCAAUCAUGAAGCAUUAGAAAGAGAUAUCAAGGAAUCGAUCCCAUUUGCCACUGCACCAAACCAUAAAAAACCUAGCAUUAAACCUAACCAAAGAGGUAAAAGAUCUGUAUGCUGAAAACUGUAGACAACAUAUGAAAGAAACUGAAGAAGACACAAAGAACCUGGAAAAUAUUCCAUGCUCAUGGGUUGCAAGA